rnacentral:rRNA from 1 species
AUUGAACGCUGGCGGCAGGCCUAACACAUGCAAGUCGAACGAGUGGCGGACGGGUGAGUAAUGUCUGGGAAACUGCCUGAUGGAGGGGGAUAACUACUGGAAACGGUAGCUAAUACCGCAUACCAUCAGAUGUGCCCAGAUGGGAUUAGCUUGUUGGUGGGGUAACGGCUCACCAAGGCGACGAUCCCCAGCUGGUCUGAGAGGAUGACCGCCCACACUGGAAUGGAUACGCGGCCCAGACUCCACCGGGAGGCAGCAUUGGGGAAUAUUGCACAAUGGGCGCAAGCCGGAUGCAGCCAUGCCGCGUGUAUGAAGAAGGCUUUCGGGUUGUAAAGUACUUUCAGCGGGGAGGCGUUACCCGAAGAAGAAGCACCGGCUAACUCCGUGCCAGCAGCCGCGGUAAUUC